rfam:Ignavibacteria bacterium RBG_16_34_14 RBG_16_scaffold_5003, whole genome shotgun sequence.
CAUUCGGUGGUUUUUACCACCACCCAUUUUAACGGCAUAUUUAUC